GUUAAUCUGCGUCACAUAUUCUUCCUCCACGUGAUCUGCAGGAACUGGUCCGUGAAAAGACUGAGUCUGGAUUGUUGCACCAAAUAUGUUGUAAAUAUUUAUUUCAGGUUUGAGCUGCUGGGCUGAGCAGCGACGAUGGGAGGAGAUCAGAGUCACGAGACGAAGCCCGAGGAAAGAAAAGCAGCUGAAGAACAUGCGGAGUGUGAGAAACCCGCCCACCAGGCGCCUGAAGAGUUGCCAGGUGAGCUGCCCCAGUGCAUGAUGGGAAGCAGAAAGGUGGACGACAUGAGCUUCAUGAUCUCGUGCACCAACUGGUAUUAGCUUGGCUCUGGUUCUGGACCUCUGGGGCCCGGAUGCUGCAUUCAUGAAGUCCACACAGAGACGCUGAGGUCCAUCAGGACCCGUUGGAGGACGCUCCUGCAGAACCUCGAGGUUCUGGGUUCAGGACUUCUUCAGGAGGAUCGGACCGUGUUCUGGAGACGUUCGUUUCACUUUGUCUUCUGUUUAAAGAAAGUGUCUUUAGUUUCUUUAGACUGAGCCCGUUCUUCAGUUUAACUUUGAUUUUUCUGCAGUUUGAACAGAAAUAAUAAAAGUUUAUCGACGAUCA